GGCGCACGGGUGAGUAACACGUAUCCAACCUGCCGAUAACUCGGGGAUAGCCUUUCGAAAGAAAGAUUAAUAUCCGAUAGCAUAUUAGAACCGCAUGGUUUUACUAUUAAAGAAUUUCGGUUAUCGAUGGGGAUGCGUUCCAUUAGUUUGUUGGCGGGGUAACGGCCCACCAAGACUACGAUGGAUAGGGGUUCUGAGAGGAAGGUCCCCCACAUUGGAACUGAGACACGGUCCAAACUCCUACGGGAGGCAGCAGUGAGGAAUAUUGGUCAAUGGACGAGAGUCUGAACCAGCCAAGUAGCGUGAAGGAUGACUGCCCUAUGGGUUGUAAACUUCUUUUAUAUGGGAAUAAAGUAUUCCACGUGUGGGAUUUUGUAUGUACCAUAUGAAUAAGGAUCGGCUAACUCCGUGCCAGCAGCCGCGGUAAUACGGAGGAUCCGAGCGUUAUCCGGAUUUAUUGGGUUUAAAGGGAGCGUAGGUGGAUUGUUAAGUCAGUUGUGAAAGUUUGCGGCUCAACCGUAAAAUUGCAGUUGAAACUGGCAGUCUUGAGUACAGUAGAGGUGGGCGGAAUUCGUGGUGUAGCGGUGAAAUGCUUAGAUAUCA
rnacentral:rRNA from 1 species